rnacentral:rRNA from 1 species
AGCAGCCGCGGUAAUUCCAGCUCCAAUAGCGUAUAUUAAAGUUGUUGCAGUUAAAAAGCUCGUAGUUGAAUUUCGGGAUUGACGUGAUGGUCGUGCCUUACGGGGUAUGAACUGUUGCAGUCAAUUUCUCACCUUCUGGAGAAAUAUGAUGUCCUUAAUUGGGUGUCAUAUGGAACCAGAACUUUUACCUUGAAAAAUUAGAGUGUUUAAAGCAGGCUUAUUGCUCGAAUACAUUAGCAUGGAAUAAUAAAAUAGGACGGCAUGGUUCUAUUUUGUUGGUUUCUAGGAUCACCGUAAUGAUUAAUAGGGAUAGUUGGGGGCAUUAGUAUUCAAUUGUCAGAGGUGAAAUUCUUGGAUUUAUUGAAGACUAACUACUGCGAAAGCAUUUGCCAAGGAUGUUUUCAUUAAUCAAGAACGAAAGUUAGGGGAUCGAAGACGAUCAGAUACCGUCGUAGUCUUAACCNUAAACUAUGCCGACUAGGAAUCAGACGAUGUUAAUUUUUAAUGACUCAUUC